rnacentral:rRNA from 1 species
GACGUAGGUGGCGAACGUUAUCCGGAAUUAUUGGGCGUAAAGGGUGCGUAGGCGGCAUGAUAAGUUAUUGGCGGCAAAUCGAGGCUCAACCUCGUGGAAACUGAUAAUACUGUCUUGCUUGAGUGCAGAAGAGGUUAACGGAACUCCAUGUGGAGCGGUAAAAUGUGUAGAUAUAUGGAAGAACAUCAAUAACGGCGAAGGCAGUUAACUAUUCUGUUACUGACGUUGAGGCACGAAAGCGUGGGGGAGCAAAAAGG